UGUUAAUGUCUGUGUUUAGCCCAUUCUGUAGAUUCCUAUAUUAAAAAUUAAAAAUUGGCAUCAACAUGUCGAUUUAUGGAAUUGAAUUCAAGAAUAGAAGAUUUUCUGCUUAAAGCGUUGCUUAAAGUUUGUCUUAUUUGUGGUAGUACACAACAGUCUGUAUGGUUUUUUUAGGUAUUUAGAAGGUUUGGCUUCUCUAACUGAUUGUUGUAUGGAGAAGUUAAAGCGAAAAACAAUUUUAAUAAAUAUACUAAAUAUAAUCUCAAAUAUUCUACUCAUUGGUAAUAUUAGUACUUUUUAUAUUUUUUAUUUAAAUUAUUUUGCAAAUUAACUAUUUUUCUUAUAAAAAACCAAUGCGUUGAUUAAACUAAAAACACCCUUAUAUCUAAAAUGCUAGAUGAAAGUGAUAAUAUUAAACACCAGAUAUUCAAUAUCAUAAUAUCAGAUGAUGAUAUCGGUAAAUUGAUUAUACCAGUUCUCAAAGAUACAAAAGAUA